CCUACGGGUGGCUGCAGUGAGGAAUAUUGGUCAAUGGGCGUAAGCCUGAACCAGCCAAGUCGCGUGAGGGAUGAAGGUUCUAUGGAUUGUAAACCUCUUUUAUAAUGGAAUAAAGUGUGGGACGUGUCCUGUUUUGUAUGUACCUUAUGAAUAAGGAUCGGCUAACUCCGUGCCAGCAGCCGCGGUAAUACGGAGGAUCCGAGCGUUAUCCGGAUUUAUUGGGUUUAAAGGGUGCGUAGGCGGCAUGUUAAGUCAGCGGUGAAAGUCUGGGGCUCAACCGUAGAAUUGCCGUUGAAACUGGCAGGCUGGAGUACGGUAGAGGCAGGCGGAAUGCGUGGUGUAGCGGUGAAAUGCUUAGAUAUCACGAAGAACCCCGAUUGCGAAGGCAGCCUGCUGGACCAUAACUGACGCUGAGGCACGAAAGUGUGGGGAUCAAACAGGAUUAGAUACCCCGGUAGUC
rnacentral:rRNA from 1 species